CUUUACCAAAAGGUCCCUUGUAUUGUCAGUAUUCACAUUUCCCUUAACACAAGGUGUAUUUAAUAUCUCAAAUUUUAAAUCAAAUUAUAAUUCCUUUCAACAUUUCCCAACAACCUUCACACAUGAUACUGAUAGUAGCCUAUUCUCAUAAUACUGCUGGCACAAGUCUACCAGUCCUAAAGUUUUUAUUUUGUUUCUCUUCUCAUUAUAAGCAGAGACAAGACUACAACUAAAUUUCAAGCAACAUCAUAUGUAUCUAUACACCCUUGGGGGAUCUCUCCACACAACAUCCUUCUGUACACCCUCUUUGUUCCCAUCUCUUAUGUGCAUUUCUACAACCCAUAACUCCUCUUUACUCCCACACCUUCAAAAUCACAUAAACAUAUUUAAAUCGAAUUCUUUGAGACUCGAAAAGGACACUAAGAAUUACACACACCCUCAUUCUAAUAGAUUUAGUAUGAUGAAUACAAUCAAUUACCAUACAUUGAAUAAAAUUAGAACACUAUGUCAAUAGACAAAUGUAUAACUCUUGAACAGGAUAAAAGAUUAAGACUGUGGAGGUGAGAAAAGGAAGCUGUUCAAGAUUCAUUAGCUCCUGAGUAAAGCCAGAGAGAGCAUGUCUGCUAGAAUUGCAGACAGCUCACUGAGGAUGGUAACUUGGAAGGCAUCUUUCCAGAUGGCAGUCCACGUUUGACUGGCAGAGGGUUUUGUAUGUUCAGUUGAUGGUGACAUUACACAGACCGGGAACUCUUCAUACAGCAACAUUAUCUUUAUGGCUGUUUUGUUCUUUAGUGUUUCAUAGCCAACUUCAUGUCAUGCAGGACAAUAUAAUGUACACUUUUUGAGCUCACAUUGCUCUUCAAAGAUUUCCUGCGGAGAUGAAAGUAAACUAGAGAAUUUAGUUUUAUUGUGUAUCAUUUUGACCCAUUCAAUUAUAAUCAUUUUUAUUACCGCUCAAACUCUGAUUUACGAAAGGAAGACGUGCGAUUAACAGGCUGUAAUAAAUUCCUCACCCCUCUUUGGUUCCGUACUCUUGAGUUUCUCCCGCUGUAUCUGACCUCAUGCUUUACGCAGUGCGGUCGUCGAGUUGAUAAUCCGUGUCAGUAAUCUCUUUUAACAAUUUAUUUCAGAAAGACAGAUCAAACACACCAUUUCCCCUGACGUGGAGUACAGACCGGUAGGUCAUUCUAUUGUUAUAUGUUAAUUAGCCAUAUGGAUAACUUUUUUUUAACUUGCUGGCUAGCUAGUUGCUUGCUGGCUAGCUAGCGUUCAUGUAAUUUAAGUUCUGUCGGAGUUUCCUUCGCACACAUUUGAUUGUUAACGAUAGCUUGGCGAGAGUGACAUUUAUACUUCAGUUUUCAUACGAGCCUUGAUUUGGUAGCUUGUCGAAUGUUGUUAUCCUGACACUCCAGUUUUGUUUCUUGGCUAUUGGCUAGCCACUUUCGUUUUGCUAAACCAUUUGGAAGAAAAUAUUGCUGACACGUUAGCCAGACAGGCCAGUGACCACAUUCAAGUUGUUACUGACCUAUUCUUCAAUUUUAGCACAUUGCGCUCUGUUCUUGCCGAGAUUAAUUAUUAUAUCUACAUUAAGGAUUUGUAUGUUCUUCUAUCUCGCAAAUAUAGAUCGAGUCCUGUAGUUGAGUUAUAUUUGACUUUUUAUCAGCACACCUUGGUGACGCCAGUCAAUCAGCUACAUCACCUUUCACAUGCUCGUGCAUCAUCAACAAAGACGAAUGGUGAGACUGAUAGUCGGCUUCAUUUUCAAGUCUUGUGUUGGUAAGAAUGGAUUUGGCAAUAUAUUUGUAUGGUCAAACUGUGUGAAAUAUGAUAUUGUGAAACAUUGCACCGUUAAACGUGAGCAGGAGUCUAUUUUAUGGAAUUGAUUGGGAUCAAUGCCAAUUGUCAAUCGAGCACGGCAAAAUGAGAUUGACUUUACAGCACCCAUUUGAGUCAAGACUCAAACUGACAGAUGUAGAGUGUGGUAUAGCAGCUAGAUAAUGCAUUAUCUCGAUAUUAUUAAAAAAACAUAGCUGAUAUCUGCUUCUGUCCCUUGCAGCCCCGUAUUUGCAGUGACUGGUGUUGUUGAGCCACCUUGUGGUGUUUGCACACAGUGUUCCCCCCCUGCCUCCCUCUCUCUGUUUCUCCAUCUACUCUGUCGCAUUUUUUUCUCUCACUCUUUCUCAGUUGUUAGGGUGUUUGACACCUGAGGUCUGCCACUAUGCAGCCUGGAGGAGCACACAAUGCUGUGUGUGGCCAGAGCCUGCUGUCCAACUCCCUUAGGGUGUAUCUGAACAACAAGAACAGACUGCAGCCCAUAAUCGGUCUGGGCUGUGUGACAGAGUGUGUGACACUCGGCUUGGACUCUGAGGCGGUGUACCUGUGUGAGGUGUGUGUGUGUCGUCUCAGUAAGGCUGAUGUCAGGAGCCACAUCAUGGGGAGUCUCCACCGAUACAACUACAUUAAAGUCCAUCACCCUCACUUUGUGUCAGAGUGGAAGCAGAGUCCUCCUGACCUGUCCAAGCUGGCCCGGCCUCUUAUGGAGAUGGCUCAAAUACUAGAGAAGAGAGAAGGAACCGGGGACGUACAGGUAUGUGUGUGUCUGUGCAUGCUGGGGUGAUGUUUGUGUGUGCGUGCAAAUCUCCUCUGUCCUGUCUUUCUGUUAGGUGCUGAAGUUGGAUGCUGCCAUGUAUGACGAUAUGACAACACACAGCGAGAGUGAUGCUCUCAUCCUCUUGCAUGCCACCAGGACUGGGAGGGAGCAGAGAGAUCUUCAGAGCCAAUCAGUGAAGCAAUCAGUCCAGUCGGAGUAUCUUACCAUCCAGUCACAGAGAACUGUGAUAUCGCCUCGGAGGCUCUCCGUCCAACCAGAGAGGCCUGUUGUCCAGCUUGACAACCGAACCGUCCUAUGGAGGAGUCCGACCACCCAGAGUCGGAACUCAUCUAGCCAAUCGGAGAAGUCCCCUGUGUUGCAGCAGAGUGUCUCUAUCCAAUCACGGCUUAGUUCGUUGGAGGAGGAGUUUCUCCAUGGAAGCAAGCCACUGGUUGGUGCUUCACUGAAGCGUCCUGCCUCAUCAUGGCAGCAUGACCCCUCUCUUUCCCCGACCCCAAAUGUCACAGCUGGAAGUCAGACGUCUCUGGGCGGGCCUGAGGGGAAGGGGGCGGGACUGCAGGGGGUUCCUGCAAAGCUGAUUCGCUGUGAGCCGGUGUUCAAGGUCAGUCUAUCUAUGACGGACGGCCCCUGGCUGUUGGAGAGGAACUCCUUCAGCCUGGAAACCUCCCCCUCCUCCCUCAGACACGCCUCACCCCUUCACUCCCCCACCGUAGAUGCCUCACUCCAACCCUCUCCCGAUCCCUCACGUUUGCUUGGCCAGCCGGGAAACUCAGUUGCCGCAAGACUCGGAAACACACAUGAAAAUACACACACUCCGGGACUGAGACGCACUCCGGGACAUGCACACACUUCAACUAUGAGACUGAGCCCAGCCAUACCUGAUGAGCAGCUGACUAUGGGAGACGAGGACACAGAGAAAGACCGUCUGUAUCUCGGAGGGGAACAGAGGUUCACCGACUAUGCUUUGUACGAUGGCAGAGAGAAAAACACAACUGACCUGGUUUACCUCAGGAGAGAGCAGGACCGAACUGACCAUCUGUAUUCAGAAAAUAACCGACUCACUGACACAAAGUUCCAUGUCCGAGUGGGGCAGAACAACCGACAAGGCAGUAUUUACCCCGGUCUAGCCUGUGCCAGAGACAUCACUGACACAGCGUCUGUUGCCGGGCCGAUUCUCUUCACUACCGGCUGUCUCUUGAAGGAGAGCUUGACAGACACUCCUCUAAUGGAAGAAGAACAGGAGGAGGAGAGGGGGAAUGAGUGUCAUUCUGGGGCACAGAGGCUUGCAGAGGAUGACAGGACAACUGACAGUCUGUACUCUACUGGAGAGAGGAUAACAGACAGUGGGUUUUCCACAGGAAGCAGGUCAAAUGACAAAAUGUACCAAACAGGAGAACGAUCAACUGACAAUCAGUCUUUUACAACAGAAGUGACAACUGACUGUUGGUAUGCUACAGGAGAGGAGCUAACUGACCGUCAGUUGAUGGAGGAAGAGGAGCGAUGCAGAGCUGAAAUUCAGAAUGGAGUUGGGCUCAUCGUGGAGGUCAUGGUGGAGGAGGGGGAGAGAGAGGAAGGAAAGGAUGGAGAGAGGGAGGAGAACUCAGACUUUUACCACCAACAGUAUUUGCAAGGCCAGCCUCUACAACGGCACCAGGCGCAGGGGUUCACAGGAACUCAUAGGGGCGCCGUAGGGCUUCAUAUGGUUGACACAGCAGAUCUCAGACAUGACAUAGCCCUUCAUAGAGAUCAGGCAGGGCCAGCCCUUCACCGAGAAGAGAUGAGCAGUCGUAUGGGUGACAUAGCAGCUAUGCAGCAGGUGCAGUUAUGUGAGGCUGAGUACAGAGAAGCAUGGGCCUAUGGAGGCACACAGCUGACCCCUGACACCUAUAGAUCAGGUCCGCAGGAGUAUGAGACUGACCCUGGCUCCUACCUGCCAUUCCCAGAGGGCCACAGAAUAAACUGUGACCCCCACCAAGUGGUUUCUGAUUGGUUUAGAACCACCCCUGGCCCGCACUUCGUUCACUCUAACCCUGACGAGUUUACACCCCAGGUCCUCCCGUACCCCCACAAUACAAUGCCCCAGGGGUUUGGACCCAAUCCCCACUCUGGUCCCUUCCCCAUGAAGAUGAGGGGCGUGCAGUCACAGGAGUACAGAAGGCUCCCCAGCCCCCCAUUUGUUAUGGUGUCUAGACCCUGCCACCCUCAGCCCUUCUUUCCAGGACAUGAAGGCUUUCUGUCCCCCCGGCACAGCCCAGCCUUACCUCCCAGCCCUCCCCACUACAGAGGAGCCUACUUGGGCCACAGCCCUGCCCGGAGUCCCUGGGCAGGACCAGGACCUCCCUGGGUCUAAUUACCACACACCAUACAUAAAUCCACCAGGAUAGUUAUUUGUGGCACUUUAGACACUGUUGUUUUAAAUGGACAGGUGUUUUGUGUGUUUUAUACACUCUAGGUUCUAUUGUUUUUAUAGCUGUCUUAAACCAACAGUAUCCCAUCCAUUGUAUAAGUGCUGAUUUUAGGUACUUCCCCUGUAUGAUGUCAUGAAAUCUCAUUGACAACUGGCAACGAUUCAACUCACCGGUUCAAUUCUGUUACCAAUUCAGAUUUAUACAAGACUUGUUUGUUUUAAGUUGUUUGUCUUCUACCGUCGAAUCAAGAUGGAGCUGAGAUGGAUAAAUAGACAACACGUUGAACACUGGCUAAAUUUUAUAAUAUGAACUCAGUUUGUGAAAUAUCUAUUUUUCAACAACAAAUAUUUUGGUUAAUGCAAAAAAAAAUCUAUGGUUAUAUUAACAUUAAGGUUUAUUUUACACAAUAAGGGGGAUCAAUUAGGGGUUCAACAUUGACCUUUCCAGAACUGUCUAGAAGGAGGCGCUGUAUUAGUUUUCAGUUCGACCAGCUGAGGGAAGCAGAGCUGAAUAAGUUGUUUAAAAUGAUGUUCAGAAACACAACACUUGUUAAAAUAAACAGUUUUAUGUUUAAAUGCUUUUUAUAUUUGCCAUGUGUGCUUCCCUCAUGAAGUUGGGUUUAUUUCAGUGUAACAACAGCUUUGGCCAGUGUUAUACUUUGACUUUGGUUCACACACCUUUACAUUGGCUUAACUGAGUAGAUCUGAUUCCAUUUGUUGAAUUAUUAGUGUUAAUUUGAAGAUUAUUCCCCCAAAAUGUUUAUGUGCAGCAGGUACGACAGACUUGGAUUCGCCUCUUCCUAUAGGCAGACUACGCGCUGCCCUUUUCUUUUUCAAGGAACUGUUGGGUCUCAACUCACUUUUGAAAAGUAGAAUACACCAGGUGCAAUUUUGACAUUUUGUUGUGUAUCAGUAGUUUCCCACUUAUGACAGUCGCUCAAUGAGACCAUGUCAGCAAAACAUUUUAAGAUUGCUAGGUAAGGUAGUUGAGCCAGGGCCCUGACCUCCAGGGGGGCCUCCAUUGGUUUUGUAAUUUUGUCACUCUUUCACAGACACUCAUAUAUAUAUAUAUAUAUAUAUACACACACACACAAGUAUAUGUGGAUUUGUCUAUUUCAGCCACACCUGUUGCUGACAGGUGUUUAAAAUCGAGCACACAGCCAUUCAAUCUCCAUAGACAAACAUUCGCAGUAGAAUGGCCUUACUGAAGAGCUCAGUUACUUUCAACGGGGCACUGUCAUAGGGUUCCACAUUCUCCAACAAGUCAGUUUGUCUAGAGCUACUCGGUCAAUUGUUAUUGUGAAGUGGAAACGUCUUGGAGAAACAACAGCUCGGCUGCGAAGUGGUAGGCCACACAAGCUCACAGAACGGGACCGCCGAGUGCUGUAGAGCACAAAGAUUGUCUGUCCCCUGUUGCAACACUCACUACAGAGUUCCAAACUGGAGGAGGAGGGGGGGUUCUAAAAGGCUAGAGGCAGCACUGGAAAGGCUACUCAGCAAGUGGCAUUGAACUUUAUUUUUUUGGUCAGUUUUGUCUCCCCCACUGCCCAAUGUCAAUUUGUGGGCAUGAUACAACUUGUCAAGCAGGUCUAUAAUAUGGUUAAUGUAGCACAGCUGGAUUCAAGUUGUUUUUUUUAACCUGUUUUUCCAUUGAGUCAAUGCUGUAUUCAAGCGUCUCAUACUAGUUUAUUUUUUUAUUUGCUGCUGUAUUUGAGUACAUUAUGGCCUUCAGGCUAAUAAAGUCACAGUAUCCAUUGAUCUCCUGCUCCAGUCAUCUCCAGCCAUGCAGUGGCUCCCAAUUUAUUAUUUUUUACCAAAGACAAACCAAAUCUUACAUGAGG
ensembl:lncRNA